ACAACAAAAACAAGAACGCGGAACCAACAGAAUAAAAACAAGACGUAACGGCUCCAACACAACAAGAACAACAGGGUGGAGGCGCAACAAACUGAUUCUUUUGGAGAGGAGUUGCCCGACAGGGUUCUCCCCCGACCGGCCCGAGAACGAUAAAACUGCCCCGAGGCAGCGGCCAGCACCGGUCAGACCCGCAAGGGUGGCGGCAACAUCAGCGUCCAAAGGAAUCCGCUUGUUCUUGAGUCCCGUCUUGGGACUCCAGCCGGACCAUGACGUCCGGACGGGUGACCGACAAGAACAACAAGCCCGCAAGCACAAGAAGAACAAAGCACGACCGACUUGAAGGGGGAGCCUAUGGCUCCCCCUUGUGCUUUGUGGCGCCCACGUUGUGGCGCUCAC
rnacentral:sRNA from 1 species